rnacentral:rRNA from 1 species
UACGUAGGGUGCAAGCGUUGUCCGGAAUUAUUGGGCGUAAAGAGCUCGUAGGCGGUCUGUCGCGUCGGCUGUGAAAACCCGAGGCUCAACUGGGGAGGGUCAUUCGAUACUGAUCGACUCGAAGGCAGGAGAGGGUAGUGGAAUUCCCGGUGUAGUGGUGAAAUGCGUAGAUAUCGGGAGGAACACCAGUGGCGAAGGCGACUACCUGGCCUGUUCUUGACGCUGAGGCGCGAAAGCUAGGGGAGCAAACGGG